CUUAAGGUUUAAAAUAAAUAUUUGAUUAAGAUUUUAUCUUUAUUAUUAUUGAAGAUACAAAACUUUUUGUAAUGCCCUUGCAUGGCGUAGGGUGGACAAAUCCUUUUGAGCGGCCCUGUAUGAGUGCAAAAUUUCUGCAGUACUGCAAGCAUUUUGUUAUCUGGGUAUCACGACAACGUAAGUCUUCUAAGUAAUCGUAAUUUAAAAAAUUUUUUAAGGAUACCACGUCUAUUCUUUUUUAAUUUCUUAUCAAGGUUAAUAAAAUUAUUAACAAAAUGACAAAUUGCAAAUCACUGUGCAUUUAUUUCGACAUUUUCUACAUUCUGUCAGUAUCCAUUAAAAAUGCAAUCUCUAUGGAUUCAAGCGAAUACAUGAGAAAGAAACGUAGUCUAACAGAAUUCGAAGCCUCGAUAAACAGAGUUCUAGAAUGUUACAAGGAGGAAGAAGGGUGCCGCCGACAGCUUCAGGCGGUGAUUUUAUUUUAUAAUUUGAAUUAAUGCCCUAGAAAGAAGUUUUGAUUGAUCCCAAUGCUGUUGAUGGUAUUGUUGAAAAUUUUUAUGGAAAUCCACGUAUAAUUUUAGAACAGAUACUGAUUCACAUUUUUGGUGAAGAUAAUUUAUGGAAACUGUCGAUAAAAGAAGAACCUCAUUCAUUUAAAACGAUAUACCUAGAAACACUAUGAUUACCAUGAUUGAUUUUACUGAUGAACAUGCGAGAUUUAAGAAAAAGUAUUUUGAAUACGUAGACUUGGUAAAAGAUGUAUUAAAUAAAUAUCGAAGAAAGAGUGAAUAAGGCAAACAAUUUCUUCAGGGGUCCAAUGUGACGGAUAAUUUUUAAAAAAGUUUUAAUUCACUGAAUUCGCUUGAAAAUCGUUACACGGUGAUUUUCAAAAUUGAAAAUGGCGGAUCCAAUA